rnacentral:rRNA from 1 species
UAUGCUUAACACAUGCAAGUCGAACGGUCUCAUGUAGCUUGCUAUAUGAGACGAGUGGCGGACGGGUGAGUAACGCGUAGGGAUCUGUCUAGGUGAGUGGGACAACACGGGGAAACUCGUGCUAAUACCACAUACGGUCUAUGGAAGCAAGGUUGGUAGCAAUACCAGUCGCACUUAGGUGAACCUGCGUUGGAUUAGCUAGUUGGUAGGGUAACGGCCUACCAAGGCGACGAUCCAUAGCUGUUCUGAGAGGAAGAUCAGCCACAUUGGGACUGAGACACGGCCCAAACUCCUACGGGAGGCAGCAGUGGGGAAUAUUGGACAAUGGGGGCAACCCUGAUCCAGCCAUGCCGCGUGAGUGAUGAAGGCCUUAGGGUUGUAAAGCUCUUUCACCGGGGAAGAUAAUGACGGUACCCGGAGAAGAAGCCCCGGCUAACUUCGUGCCAGCCGCCGCAGUAA